AUACUUACCUAGAAGAAGAGACACCAUAAUCACAAAGGUCGUUUUCCCCGGGGUGAGGCUUAUCCAUCACAUCCAGAACAUCUUGAUAUUCUGACCCCUACAGUUUCCCCAAAUUCAGGAAACUCAACUGCAUAUUUGGUGGUAGUGAGGAACUGUAUUCAUGCUCCCCUGU
ensembl:snRNA Gm23741 predicted gene, 23741